UUGAAGAGUUUGAUCAUGGCUCAGAUUGAACGCUGGCGGCAGGCCUAACACAUGCAAGUCGAGCGGUAGCACAGAGAGCUUGCUCUCGGGUGACGAGCGGCGGACGGGUGAGUAAUGUCUGGGAAACUGCCUGAUGGAGGGGGAUAACUACUGGAAACGGUAGCUAAUACCGCAUAACGUCGCAAGACCAAAGUGGGGGACCUUCGGGCCUCAUGCCAUCAGAUGUGCCCAGAUGGGAUUAGCUAGUAGGUGGGGUAACGGCUCACCUAGGCGACGAUCCCUAGCUGGUCUGAGAGGAUGACCAGCCACACUGGAACUGAGACACGGUCCAGACUCCUACGGGAGGCAGCAGUGGGGAAUAUUGCACAAUGGGCGCAAGCCUGAUGCAGCCAUGCCGCGUGUGUGAAGAAGGCCUUCGGGUUGUAAAGCACUUUCAGCGGGGAGGAAGGCGAUAAGGUUAAUAACCUUGUCGAUUGACGUUACCCGCAGAAGAAGCACCGGCUAACUCCGUGCCAGCAGCCGCGGUAAUACGGAGGGUGCAAGCGUUAAUCGGAAUUACUGGGCGUAAAGCGCACGCAGGCGGUCUGUCAAGUCGGAUGUGAAAUCCCCGGGCUCAACCUGGGAACUGCAUUCGAAACUGGCAGGCUAGAGUCUUGUAGAGGGGGGUAGAAUUCCAGGUGUAGCGGUGAAAUGCGUAGAGAUCUGGAGGAAUACCGGUGGCGAAGGCAGCCCCCUGGACAAAGACUGACGCUCAGGUGCGAAAGCGUGGGGAGCAAACAGGAUUAGAUACCCUGGUAGUCCACGCCGUAAACGAUGUCGAUUUGGAGGUUGUGCCCUUGAGGCGUGGCUUCCGGAGCUAACGCGUUAAAUCGACCGCCUGGGGAGUACGGCCGCAAGGUUAAAACUCAAAUGAAUUGACGGGGGCCCGCACAAGCGGUGGAGCAUGUGGUUUAAUUCGAUGCAACGCGAAGAACCUUACCUGGUCUUGACAUCCACAGAACUUUCCAGAGAUGGAUUGGUGCCUUCGGGAACUGUGAGACAGGUGCUGCAUGGCUGUCGUCAGCUCGUGUUGUGAAAUGUUGGGUUAAGUCCCGCAACGAGCGCAACCCUUAUCCUUUGUUGCCAGCGGUCCGGCCGGGAACUCAAAGGAGACUGCCAGUGAUAAACUGGAGGAAGGUGGGGAUGACGUCAAGUCAUCAUGGCCCUUACGACCAGGGCUACGUGCUACAAUGGCAUAUACAAAGAGAAGCGACCUCGCGAGAGCAAGCGGACCUCAUAAAGUAUGUCGUAGUCCGGAUUGAGUCUGCAACUCGACUCCAUGAAGUCGGAAUCGCUAGUAAUCGUAGAUCAGAAUGCUACGGUGAAUACGUUCCCGGGCCUUGUACACACCGCCCGUCACACCAUGGGAGUGGGUUGCAAAAGUAGGUAGCUUAACCUUCGGGAGGGCGCUUACCACUUUGUGAUUCAUGACUGGGGUGAAGUCGUAACAAGGUAACCGUAGGGGAACCUGCGGUUGGAUCACCUCCUU
rnacentral:rRNA from 1 species